rnacentral:tRNA from 1 species
GGGAAUGUGGCUUAGUGGUAAAGUGCUUGCCUAGCAUGCAUGAAGUUCUGGGUUUGAUUCCUCAGUACCA